rnacentral:tRNA from 1 species
GGGUUGGCUCAGUGGUUAGAGCUUAGGUCUUGUAACCGAAAGGUGUCGGGAUCAAAUCCCGCUGGAGGCUG